CAACAGGGAUUGCCCCAGUAACGGCGAGUGAAGCGGCAACAGCUCAAAUUUGAAAUCUGGCUCUCGGGCCCGAGUUGUAAUUUGUAGAGGAUGCUUUUGGUGAGGUGCCUUCCGAGUUCCCUGGAACGGGACGCCAUAGAGGGUGAGAGCCCCGUCUGGUUGGACGCCGAACCUCUGUAAAGCUCCUUCGACGAGUCGAGUAGUUUGGGAAUGCUGCUCUAAAUGGGAGGUAUAUGUCUUCUAAAGCUAAAUACCGGCCAGAGACCGAUAGCGCACAAGUAGAGUGAUCGAAAGAUGAAAAGAACUUUGAAAAGAGAGUUAAACAGUACGUGAAAUUGUUGAAAGGGAAGCGCUUGUGACCAGACUUGGGCUUGGUUGAUCAUCCGGGGUUCUCCCCGGUGCACUCUUCCGGCCCAGGCCAGCAUCAGUUCGCCCUGGGGGACAAAGGCAUCGGGAACGUGGCUCUCUCCGGGGAGUGUUA
rnacentral:ncRNA from 3 species